GUUAGACAUCCGUACGUAGGGCAGUGACAAUGUUUACCCCGCUGUCUUCUCACAGUGGCCAUGAUGCCACCGUAUCUUUCAGUCCUUCCGCAAUGAUGUCGCCAGUGUGAUCUUCUGGGAAGUAGGAUAUUUGCAAACAGAAGCUUUGAAGUUGCCAGUGUUCGUCAAUGAAAUGCACCGUCAGGGAGAGAUUGUGAGGAUUGCCAGUCCUCCUUCACUGAGCAGUGUGAGGUCCAUGGACCUCCUGUCUUCAUCUCUGACUCUCCUGCAGUCAUGGGGAUCCCUGGCAGGGCCCUCCUUACCUUACCACCUGGUUUAGAGGUUCUGCCAUCCAGCAUCCCUGAGGCAGGUCAAGGGGUGUUCAGCCAGGGGCAGACUGUGCCCAGAGGAAUGCAUUACGGUCCCUAUGAAGGAGAAGUCACCUGAGGAUUCACACAGGAGAGAAGCUCUAUCAUUGUUCACAGUGCGGGAAUAGCUUCACUGAAUUACGAUUCCUAAAGAGACACCAAUGGAUACACACAGGGGAGAGGCCCUACCAGUGCUCUCAUGCCCUGUGUCAGCAGACAUGCAAGGCAUGAGAAGAACAGCACCGCCAAGAGGAUAUACUGGGCGAUGCAUGCAUACCGAUCUCCCUCAAUGAGGUGUAGAAGGCUGAGGCCACAGAGCCCGAAGAUGGCGGUCAGCAUCAGCAGUAGCGCCGUGACCCUGCUACGCUUUUCGCCUUCUACAACACCCGACAAGCGGCAGGUCAGCAGCAGGGCCAGGAUUAGCGAGGCCACGGCUGUCCCUCCCACUGCCGUUAGUAUCGCCACGCCCCACCCAAUGCCCAAAUCACAAAGGGCGGCGAAGGGCCUCAUGAGGAGGGAGCUGCAGCCUGCAGGAGCAGCUUUAUCCCAAAGAAGCCAGCCAGAACAAACAGCAGAAGGUCCCUCCUCCUCCAGGAAGAGGUGAGCCCUCUGCUCCUGCUGCAGAAGGGGGGGCAGUGGGUCCGAUGCCACAUCCUUCUGUCUUCCCACGAUGAGGAGGAUGAGGACGAUGACCAACGGAAUGAUGAUGAGGAAGAAGAACCUGUACCCAAAGGCCGGGACAGAGGCUUUGGGACUGUUUUGCUUAUUGGAGAAAGAAAACUUUGCCACUUGGUGGCUAGGCAAUUCUGAGAGACCGUAUCCCUGAAGGUCAAGAACAGCCUGAAAGAUUGCAUUGCACUGCUUAGUUUUAUGGAAGAGGAGGGGCUGCAGGAAAACUGGGAGAGACUGUUGUGCUUGAUUACCUCUAUGUGGCAGAAGACAUGCAUGCCGUUUGUCAGCCCAGCCAGGAGAAGAGUAGAUCCAGAUUCCCAGUAUUGGUUCGCCUUCACCUUUCUGGGGAGGAGGUGGACCUGGACAGUGAUGCCCCAGGGCUACACAGAGUCACCUAGCGUGUAUGGGCAGGAGCUGGCAAAAAAUUUGGAGGGGUUUACUGCGCCUGGGCAUAGCACACUGGUACAGUAUGUGGAUGGUUUGUUACUUUGCUCUCACACUCCCAAGUUCUGUAAACAGGACACCAUAGCAAUGUUAGACUUCCUGGCUGAAAAUUGGCACAAAGCCUCCAAAGAAAAGCUGCAGCUAGUGUCAUAAAGGGUUAAAUACCUUGGACAUGUGUUGACAAGUAAGGGAAGGUCAUUAGGACCAGAUCGAGUGGCCUCCAUACAGAAGAUGCCCAAACCAGAGACUAAACAGCAAUUGCUUUCAGUCCUAGGAAUGAUUGACUAUUGCAGGCCUUGGAUUCAGGACUAUGCACAGAGGUCACAGCCCUUGGUUGAUUUGACAGUUGGGCUGAGACUGACUGACAGACAGACUGACGUGGACGUCCGAAGCUGAAGACAGCCUGAUUGAUUUAAAACAGGCGUUAAUGUCAGCCCCAGCCUCUUAGGGGUUGCCUGAUUAUAGAAAGCCGUUUGUGCAGUAUGUGGAUGACAAAAAAGGGUUCAUGAUUCCAAUUCUGAUUCAGUAUCACGGGGAACUACUCAAAGCGUUUGGUGCCUCGAGCAUUACCCCUUUGUCUUCGAGCAGUGGCUGUAGCAACUGAGGCGAUGAUGGCAAUUGCAGAUCUAGUCCAGUUACAUCCACUGAAACUUUGAGUUCCCCAUGCAGUGCACGCAAUCCUGACACAGGCCAGGACAUCUCAUUUGACGCCUGCGCGAUCGGUGCAUUAUCAGAAUGUUUUGUUAACACAAAUGUGACUGUGGAAAGAUGCUCUGCUUUCAAUCCGGCGACCUUCCUUCCCACGGAGGCGGACGGGGAACCGCAUGAUUGUUUGCAGGUCAUCGACUGUGUGUGCAGACAUAGGCCAGAUCUGACUGACAUCCCACUGGAAGGAGACAACAUCCUGUUUGUCGAUGGGAGUUCGUUGAGGCUGGAGGACGGAUCCCCAGCGACCUCCUAUGCCAUGGUGAUGCAAGACGGAUCACUAGUGGACGGAGGGCUUCUGCCCAGACAUUGGUCCGCACAAGCGGCUGAGCUGUUUGCACUGCAACAGGCCUGCAAAUUGGCUGAGGGACAAAAAGUCACUAUCAACACAGACUCAAGAUACGCCUUCGGGGUGUGUCAUGAUCAUAGUGCAUUGUGGAAGCAGAGAGGUUUUCGCACCAGCACUGGAAAACCUAUUCAGCAUCAUGAGUUGUUGGAACAAUUACUGGACGCUCUCAUGCUACCUGAACAGCCCACACAAAGCAGACUGAUGAAAUCAGUCAGGGGAAUGACCUCACAGACCAGUGGGCUAAAAGUUUAGCCCAGGACUCCACUGGGUUUGGGAAUAAGGUUUUGCUGGCAAAGGAUGUUGAUAAACCAUGUGCUGAAAAUGACCUUGUUUUGAUUCAAACAGGUGCAACGGAGGCUGAGCUCCGCGGAUGGAAACGGAGCAGAGCAUGGAGUGAUAGAGAAGGCGUGUGGCGACAUUCUGGGACUAACCAACCUUAUCUCCCUAGAUCUGCGUAUCCAGGGAUGGCCAAAGCCGUUCAUGGCCUGGAUCAUGUGUCCCGUGAUAGGAUGGUGGCGGCUGUGACUCGGGUGUGGCAUGCCCCUGGGUUUGCCGCAGCUGCUGCCCAGUUCUGUGGGAAGUGUAUGGUGUGCAUGAAAUUCAAUGUGGGAAAGCGCAUUCCAAGUGUCCCUGCAGUGACCCUGAGUCCCCAAAGCCCAUUCGAUCACCUGCAGAUGGAUUUCAUUGAGCUAACUCCGUGCAAGGGAUAUAAGUAUUGCUUGGUGAUUGUGGAUCUGUUUUCCAGAUGGGUGGAGGCAUUUCCUUGCCAUCGCCCUGAUGCUCUGAGCGUGGCUAAAUGUCUGCCAAAGGAGGUGAUUCCACGAUGGGGCAUUCCAUCUAAAAUCACCACAGAGAACGGUCCUGUGUUCAUCGCAGAGACCCUGGCUAAAUUGUCCCAUUGGAUGCAAAUUGAUUUAAAGCAUUAUUGUGCCUAUCACCCCUCGAGUGGGGGGAUUGUGGAGAGAGCAAAUCAGACACCUAAACUGAAAUUGGCGAAAAUUUCAGACGAUGGGCCUGCCCUAGGUGGAUGCCCUGCCCCUGGCUUUGUUAUUCAUGCGAGCCAGGACACACCGCCAGACAGGGUUGACAGGAAGGCCGAUGCGUGUUUUGUCUCACUCACGAUAUGUCACACUGGAGACUGUGGAUGGGGAUUUGCUGACUUAUCUUACAGGUUUGCGGCAAGCGAUAGGUGCAGCCUGGGAUCAGGUUCGUGCCAAUUGGAGAAAUCCAAUUUGCAGUGAUUCAGUGACAAUAUGUCAAUACGUUAAUCAUUAAUCAAAGGACAACCAAGUAUUUACAGUGAUUCAAUGAUGGUACCAAACUGUGGUAGAAAAAUUUUUAAUAUAACACUUAGAAUAAAAGUCGGACCUCUCAGUUUGAUGAGGUAAAGGAAAUCUUUUAUUCUAGCAACUCCUGUCACACUCUGGCACUUGGUACCAAGUCACUCGGAGCACACAGAGCAACCAGUUGAUAAACCAUAACUCCUAAUUCCCAAUAAGGACUUCUAAAUCCUGAUUGGUCACGAAACACCAACAAACCGAGCUCAAACGUAUAACAAACACAAUUCUCCUACUCUAUUGGUUUACCUUGGUGGCAAGGUAAAAUCCACCCAUCUAGCUCAGUUUACCAGAACAUGUCUCGACUGCUAGGCUCCUACUUGAGAUAUGAAUAUAGAUAUUGAUUACAUGACAUUGAUUACAUGACAUUGAACAAUACUUGGUUGUCCUUUGAUUAAUGAUUAACGUAUUGACAUAUUGUCAUUGGAUCACUGCAAAUACAUGGUUAACAUAUGAUUAAUAUGAAUAACAUAAUUACUUAUACAUUUGCACUACCGCAUAGCUUGCUAUAUUUGUCUGCCAGAAUUAUUUUAUAAAGCUAUAACAGGCUGUGCACCAGUUGGGGCAGCUUCGAAUCUCUUCCUGCAAGUGGUUUCUUCCCCCCCUUGGUUCCGCUGUCUGCCUCUCCAAGGUCUGAGCUUUCCUCUGGGUCUGCGGAACUUACUGCAGGCAGCUAUCGCGAAGCGGGGUCACACAGUAUUCAAAACAAUCUCUUCUUGCCUAAGGCCUAAGACAUAACAGACCCAAUAUGCCAACCUCCCGGGCCUACCAAUAUACAAUUUUACUUCCACAUUCCCCCCUUUUGAACAUGCGAGAUCCGCACAGUUCACAAACAAUCAGAGUCCGCAGCGUAGUAAAAUUCCGGACAAAUGCGUGGUGGGUCGAAGCGGGCUGGUGGCGGCUGGAUGGAACCAGCGGUGUUGGCAUUGCUGCUCACAUUGAUAACAACCUGGGGCUGAGGGUCGUAGAGCCAGGCGGGAACAAGAGGAUCAUCCACGUAGGGAAGAGGGGGACCCCGUAGGAACAUACCAGAAUUUGCCUGGAAAGACAGAAUACUAGAACAACACCUAAACAGCAAGAAGAUUAGUAGCAACACUACAAGCAAGAUCAAAACAUGAAAAACUAAGGUCUGAACACCCCAGAUAAACUCGGAAUCAGUGAGGAGAACCAAUAGUCCCAGCUGUACUCAAACAGGCCAUGCUCCUCAUGUAUAGCAGACAUCUGCUUGUGCACCACGUCCACUAGAUCCUGCACAGCCUGAGUGGAAUCAGGGAUGUACGUGCAACAUUCUCUCCCCACAAUAACACAAACUCCACCUUCAAAACAGUUCAUCAAAUAAAUUACUGAGGAAAGUGUUUGCUUUUACUCCUAUUUCUUAGGGUUUUCAUCUCUAGUCUCCAGCUCACCAUUCUCCAGUACAUUUCCGUGGCCAUUUUGUCCGAUAGUAUUGUUGGAUUUUUCUGUGCUAUAAUUUUUUUUAUGUUUAUAUUUAAUCCUUGUGUGUUGUAUAAAUUAUUAAAGUAAAAGUUUCUUUUACUUAUAAUUCCUUUUAUUUUUAUGUGUGUGCUAUUUUGCACUCUCGGUCGGGAGUUGGGGGGUGGCAUGGUGGUGUAGUGGAGUUUGCAUGUUCUCCCCAUGUCAUCUCCUGUUUCCCCCCACAGUCCAAAGACAUGCUGAGGUUGAUUUGAGUUACUAAAUUGCCCGUGGGAGUGCAUGUGUGAGUGAAAGGUGUGUGCCUGGCCCCCCAUCCUGGGUUGUUCCCUGCCUCGUGCCCAUUGCUUCCGGGAUAGGCUCCGGACGCCCCGCGACCCAGUAGGAUAAGCGGUUUAGAAAAUGGAUGGAUGGAUGGAUGGAUGGAUGGAUGGAUGGAUGGAUGAAUAACCCUGCAUAAUUAGCAUGCACUCUGCCUCAGUAAAGUAUGGAGCUGGCGCCUGUUCAAACCAGGGAUUCUUUGUAUAAAAGCAUCUGGUACAUAAAUGUUAUCCUCUUUCCUGAGCUGUGUCCUACACAGCGGUGUGUUCACAAUGUGACCCCUUUGGCUCUCUUCUCUCCCUACCCUCUUCCACAAGAGCAGCAAGGACCUGGUCCAGCAGGUGGAGGAGCUGAGUCGGUUGCUAAGCGAUGCAGAGGCAGUCAGCCGUGAUGCUAAACGGGACUGGGCAGUCCUGCGGCGUGAGAAACUGGGGCUGCAGGAGAGUGUCGCAAGUCAUUGUGGAGUGUCUUCGGCCUGGACGCGCUGGGGGAUGCCUUGGGACACACUGGGGGAGAGCAUCUCAGCACUAAGAGUGGUCUGAAAGUGGAGGUGCAGACUCUGCGUGACCAGCAGAGGGCAGACAAGGCCCACUUCAAGAAGAUGCAGGCAGACUACCAGAGAGCUGCAAUUAGCCUUUGGGGAAACUGCUAAGCUGAUGGCCCUGCUGGACGGGAAGGUUCCUAGAAGUCUGACCGACAACAUGUUGAAACGUCAGGUGUCCAGGUUGAAGAAGGAGCUGGCCCAGGAGGAGGUGAAGAAGCUGAGCACAUUCGGGGAACUCCCUGUCAAGGUGGAGCAGCUGAUGCAGCAGGACCUGUGCUCCUGCCGAGCUGAGGCGGCGCUGGUGGCUGCGUGGGAGACCAGCGACACGGCGGUUCAGAAGCUGAUCGAGGAUCUGCGGCAGGCCCAAGUUGGGCAGGAGCGUGCAGUAGACAGAGGCUGAGCUUGGAACACUUUGCGCUGAUGCAUAACACUGGGCCCGGGAGGAGCAGCUCCUUGAAUCAUUGGAGAGCCUCAAGCAGGAGGUGCAGCAAAGGCAAGAGGGUGAAAGUUCACUGAAGCACAAACUAGCUGAACAGCAGCAGCUGGUGACGGACCUGCAAAUUAUUCUGACUGAAUCCCAAGAGACCAGCAAAAGGAACCAGCAGGCCUUCGGGCAGAAGUCCGAUCAGCUCCAGAAGGGUCAACAAUUAUAGGAGGAGCUGGAAGAAUUGAAAGCAGAGAGGAGCCAGCUGAGGAGGGACCUUGAGGAAAAUGUCCAGCAGGUAAAGCAGCUCGGAGAAGAACUGGAGGAAGAAAGACAAGUGAGACAAUUCAAGAAGCUGCUGGAUGAGGCUUCUGCCAAGCUUCUCCCGGAGACGAGUCAGAGAAGGAGUGCAGCUGAGGAGUCCAGGCAGCUUCUUUAUAGGAGACUCGAGGAAUCCGAGAGCCUCCUGCAGGGUCUGCUCGAUCGCUGCCAACUCCUCCGGGAGCAGGCUCUGGGGGCCAGUACUGAGCUGAUGGCCCAGCUGGAUGAGUCCUCGCUGGUGCAGAAUGAGCUCAUCUUCCGCACGCUGCUUUCCAUCCCCAAAGCCACACGGCAGAUCUACAGGAACUUCCGCAAGAACACAGAUGACUUCAAUGGUUUUGUCUGCCAGACUGCGGGGGUGUAUGCUGACCUGGCUACAGUACAGACAGCAGUUUGAGGCUCAAGCUCGUCACGACCUGGCCUGCAUGGAGAUGUGUCUGCAGGAUCUGCUGCUCCAGCAAGUCCAGGGCCCGACACCCAUUCAGGGCCUGGCCGUGCUGCAGCUGCUGGAUUUGUGGGACCAGCGUGCAUCUGAGCUACAGGAGAAGAGGCAGGGCUGCAUACAGAAGCUGCAGAGUAUUCUUGGAGACCGGAGUCAGGUUUGGCCCAGAACUCCGCCUCUGUCCAACCGGAGCUGGCGGAGCAGCGGCGCACCAAUGAGGAGCUGCGGCCGCUGUGCGAUGGCCCCUCCCCCGACUCAGCGGCGCUGGAACACCUGCUGCAGCGUCAGCUGUCCAGGCGAGCGGCAGCCGUGCAGCCCAGGAAGGAGCUCUACCAGCACCUGCAGGCAGAGUACUUUCAGGCCGAUUCUGGGCUGCAGGUGUUCAAGGCCGAUGCACAGCGUCAGCUGAUGAAGUACCGGGGUCGCAGCUCAGCCCUGCUACAGUCCAUACAGACAGACCUUGCGGGCACACAGACGGACGGCACAGGCAGCCUGCAGAACUACCCCCAGAUGGUUGUCCAGCUGCAGCAGGCUGAGCAGAUGGCCAUGUCCUGCAGGCCUGUCUGAAGCCCCUUGAGGAGAUUCAUGAGGCUGCCUGUGACAAAGCCUCCAAACUGGCGGAGAAGGUCCUCGUGCUCAAGCAGCUGCUCCAGGAUGUGCAAACCCAGCUUGAGGAGCGACAGAAGGCCAUCAAAAGCCUGAAGAAGCAGCUCCAGGCCCAGGUGAGGAAGGGCGUAGCCCCCGGUACGGAGGAGCUUCAGAUGAAGGCGAAGCUCUCCAGAAUGGAGCUGGAGCAGAGCGCAGGCCAGCAGCUACCAGGAGAAGUAAGCCAGACACCUCGUCUGUGGUGGAACUUGCUGCUAAUUGGCAGUUUUGCCAGGGUUUCCACGAUGACUGCACUGCUGGAUCACAGAGGAUACCCUCAGGAAGCUAAAGGAGAUGCUGGGAAACGUGCAAAACCAAGGAGAUGAGUCCUGUGAGGAUGACGAGGGGAAGCGGGCUGUUUCUUAGCCCCCUCCCCCCAGGUCUGUUCUCAUUCCCCUUCCACACUGGCAGUCAUUGCAGGAGGGCUGCCCAGUGCCAAGGUUUAGAGUGGAGCUGGUGCUACCCACCUAGUCCAGAGCACUGUGCAGCUGGAGCGAGCCAAGCUGGAGAGUGACAUGAAGUACUUGCAGCUGGAGGUAGAGAUUGGAGAGCCUGGUUUCCAGCCAGAAGGAGAUCGCCAAGUGGAAGGGGCAUGCCAUGCGGCUGAAGGAGACCCAGCGUGAUCUGAAGAGGCACGAGCGGCCUUCCCCUCACCCCUGCAAAAGGGGCCAGCUGGCUGCUACUGACGCCCCCUCCCCCAUGAAGAAGCCGGCUGCCAGACGUGGCCUCCCCGGGCCCUAGUGUUUGAAUGGUUGUGGUUCCAGACACUGCAGUUGGUGUGGGCACGGCUUGCGAAGCCUGAGGCCCUGAUAGCCUGUCCCUGCAAAAGGACACUCUGCUGUGACACAGUAACCUCAGCUGUUGGGUCAUCUUCAGCUAUUGCACAUAGACGGCACCAACAGGAGCAAGUCACGCACAUCCAUAAAAAAAGGCUUUAUUCU